rnacentral:lncRNA from 1 species
GCAAAUUCCCCGUUCUGCAUGAGAAGGCGCGGAUCUGGGUCACUAUCUGGGUUGACGCGCGGACCUUCAAUGUCCCAAACGGUGCCGUUUCGUUGUUAAUUAAUAAAAAGAAAGAAAAACCUAAGACCUAAAUACUUCAACAGACUGAAAAGGGGCAAAUGAAGGGGAGAAGAGGGAGAGAGGGGAACGAUGCCCACAACGCCUCGGUCUUAGCCGAUUCGGCGUUCAUUGGUGCUCAACGCCUCCGCCUCCAUCAUGGCACCAGUCUAAAACCCCUCAAAACGCAGGUAAGUUUACUCGUCUUUUAUUUUGCUAAAAUUUUUAUCUACCAAAGCAAAGAGAAAAAAAAGAAAAUAAAAACCCAAAAGGGAGAAUAUGAAUCGAAGAACCACUUUCGGUUUUUCUGAGUAUUGUUUCAAACGUUUGCAUUCGUAUUGAUUUCUUUUUGCGUAAUCUCUGUGAACGUAACCUUACAAAGGAUGAAAUCCUUUGGCUUUAUAGCCCAAAGGAAAGAAAGAAAAAUCAAUAAAAUAAAUAAAAAAUACAAUAUUUCCAUUUGUUUGUAUUUGUUGCUGUUGCUUGUUUUUUUUUUUUUUUGCAGGUACGGGUGUGCUGGUGCUCGGGUACGGAGGCUUGGGCAUGGCAUGGCUGUUGAGGUGCUGGCAUCGUACGAAGGCGUUGUCUGGUUGCAGCGUAAGCAUUAGGCUAGGGUUUUUUUGCCUGCUUUAAAUUUUGGGCCACUUGGGCCUAUUGUAUUUGGCCUUGGGUUAUGUAGCUGGGAUUGGGUCUGUUAUAAAACUGGACUGUUGUAUUGGUUUGGUUUAAAAUUUUAUUAUUUAUUUAUUUUGUAUAUAUUUUGGUUUCUAGUGGGCCCGGGCAAAUUGGCCCAUUUACAAUGUUGAAUUUUUAAUUUGGCAGUAGUGAAUCGUGGAAGUCGUGGCCCCCCUCUUAUAGAUUCAUAGUUAGGGAUUGCCAGAAUUUGGAGGUAAGUGAUGAGUGGUCGAUAUAUCUCGUUUGGUUUCGUAGUUACGGUUUAGUUACAUGUUAAAUCUGAAUUUGGGCUUUGGAUUAUCGAUUGUUAGAUUUUGGAGUGCUCGGGAUUGUGUUUGCUAUGAAAUUAUAUCAGGUGUGUACCCGAAAUGUAGAAAAAUAGGAUUUGGCGAAAGCUGGAAUACCCCAUUGUCGACGCCACACGGGCAUGUGGUUGCCUGUGUGGUAGGAUGUGUGCGACAACACGGCUGUGUGACCGACAAAGGCUAGGUCAUGCGUAAGACAGAGUCGUGUGAUGUUUGAGGUGUGGCCGUAUGGGCUACACAAGCUAAACCAAAUUGGGUGUAUGGGCCACACGGGCCUGUGGGCCUACAUAGACAUUCCACACGGAUGUAUGAUAUCUGGGCCAGGCUGUGUGAUCUGCACUGGCAAUGCCAAUCUAGGUGUGUGGGCCCAUUUAGCUAAAAUGUUUCCUAGGGUUGCACGGGUCACCCAAGUCGACUGUGAACCUACUGUAGGGUCGAUAAAUACUACUUAGACCCUAAAUCGUGUGACCUGAAUAUAUAAUGCAUGUACUAAGCAUGUUAAAUUUAUGCAUGUUUACCGGUCUGUAUGUAUGAUUGAUAACUGAAUUUUAGCAUGUAAGCAUGUAUCUCUGUAUGUUUGCAUUAAGCAUGUUUAGUUGCAUCUGCAUUGGGGUGGGAUGAUUGAUUAUUGGAGGAAAUGUACUGAAAGGCUUUCAUGCUUAUUAUCUGGCAGCUUAGCUACAAUAUUACCGAUAUGUGUCGUAUUUGGUACAACUUGGUGUGUAGGGUUGAGUGGGUGUUCCAAACCCCACAGGGUGUGUAGGGAUGGUCGGAGAUGGUGUGUAGAGGCUAGUGGGUAGGAUACUGAUUUUUGUUACUGAAUACAUAAUGUAUCUAAGAUGGGCUAAGGCCUUAAUUUAUAUCUGAACUAUAUUUGAAUUUGUAAUAGGCUUAGGCACCAGACUGCAUGUGACUAAUAAUUGUCGUUUUACUAUAUGCAUGUUAUCUAUGGGGAUUACACACUGAGUUUACAUAAACUCACCCCUUUUUGUUUUAUCUAUGCAGGUAAUCCUCAGACUACUUUUGAUGUAAUUUGAGACUUUUGUGACUGUUUGCCUUUAUUUUGGAUUUCAACUGUUUUCAUGGACUUUUAAACUGCAAAAAUCAAUGAAAACUCGGUUUAAUUAAAAACAAUGUUUUCCUAAAAUGCAAACGUUUUUCUUUAAAUAUCACGGUUUUAAAAGCUUCCCCUACAGAAUAUGUUUUUAAACGAAU